CAGCCGCCGCGGGAAUACAGAGGGUGCGAGCGUUAAUCGGAUUUACUGGGCGUAAAGCGCGCGUAGGUGGUUUGUUAAGUUGGAUGUGAAAGCCCCGGGCUCAACCUGGGAACUGCAUCCAAAACUGGCAAGCUAGAGUACGGUAGAGGGUGGUGGAAUUUCCUGUGUAGCGGUGAAAUGCGUAGAUAUAGGAAGGAACACCAGUGGCGAAGGCGACCACCUGGACUGAUACUGACACUGAGGUGCGAAAGCGUGGGGAGCAAACAGGAUUAGAUACCCCGGUAGUCCCUGUCUCUUAUAU
rnacentral:rRNA from 1 species